CCUACGGGGGGCAGCAGUGGGGAAUAUUGGGCAAUGGGCGCAAGCCUGACCCAGCAACGCCGCGUGAAGGAAGAAGGCUUUCGGGUUGUAAACUUCUUUUAAGAGGGAAGAGCAGAAGACGGUACCUCUUGAAUAAGCCACGGCUAACUACGUGCCAGCAGCCGCGGUAAUACGUAGGUGGCAAGCGUUGUCCGGAUUUACUGGGUGUAAAGGGCGUGCAGCCGGGAAGACAAGUCAGAUGUGAAAGCCCGCGGCUCAACCGCGGAACUGCAUUUGAAACUGUUUUUCUUGAGUACCGGAGAGGUCAUCGGAAUUCCUUGUGUAGCGGUGAAAUGCGUAGAUAUAAGGAAGAACACCAGUGGCGAAGGCGGAUGACUGGACGGCAACUGACGGUGAGGCGCGAAAGCGUGGGGAGCAAACAGGAUUAGAUACCCCUGUAGUC
rnacentral:rRNA from 1 species